UAGAGGAAGUAAAAGUCGUAACAAGGUUUCCGUAGGUGAACCUGCGGAAGGAUCAUUAUUGAAAUAAACUUGGUGUGGGUUGCAGCUGGCCUUUGGGCAUGUGCUCACCUUCAUCAUCUUUAUAUUUCCACCUGUGCACCUUUUGUAGACAGGAAAGACAAGGGAAUUUAUUGUGGUGCCAUUUUAGGCCCCCAUUUAUUUCUUGUGUAUUCCUUGUCUAUGUUUUUAUAUACCCCAAAAAUGUAACAGAAUGUUAAUCUAUGGGCCUUUGUGCUUAUAAACAAAAAUUAUACAACUUUCAGCAACGGAUCUCUUGGCUCUCGCAUCGAUGAAGAACGCAGCGAAAUGCGAUAAGUAAUGUGAAUUGCAGAAUUCAGUGAAUCAUCGAAUCUUUGAACGCACCUUGCGCUCCUUGGUAUUCCGAGGAGCAUGCCUGUUUGAGUGUCAUUAAAUUAUCAAAAAAAGAUCUUCAAUGCUCUUGUUUUGGAUGUGAGGGUUUUUGUUGGCGAAAGUCGACUCCCUUGAAAUGUAUUAGCUUGGUUGAYUAGACUUUGUCUAUUGGUGUGAUAAUUAUCUACGCCAUUGGAUUGUCUGCUUGUCAAACUGCUUCUAAUUGUCCCUUUAGGGACUCUAUUAAAUGACCAUUUGACCUCAAAUCAGGUAGGACUACCCGCUGAACUUAAGCAUAUCAAUA
rnacentral:rRNA from 1 species